GGCGAACGGGUGAGUAACGCGUGAGUAACCUGCCCUAGAAUGGGGGACAACAGUUGGAAACGACUGCUAAUACCGCAUAAGCCCACGGUACCGCAUGGUACUGAGGGAAAAGGAUUUAUUCGCUUUAGGAUGGACUCGCGUCCAAUUAGCUAGUUGGUGAGGUAACGGCCCACCAAGGCGACGAUUGGUAGCCGGACUGAGAGGUUGAACGGCCACAUUGGGACUGAGACACGGCCCAGACUCCUACGGGAGGCAGCAGUGGGGGAUAUUGCACAAUGGGGGAAACCCUGAUGCAGCGACGCCGCGUGGAGGAAGAAGGUUUUCGGAUUGUAAACUCCUGUCGUUAGGGACGAUAAUGACGGUACCUAACAAGAAAGCACCGGCUAACUACGUGCCAGCAGCCGCGGUAAAACGUAGGGUGCAAGCGUUGUCCGGAAUUACUGGGUGUAAAGGGAGCGCAGGCGGGAAGACAAGUUGGAAGUGAAAACCAUGGGCUCAACCCAUGAAUUGCUUUCAAAACUGUUUUUCUUGAGUAGUGCAGAGGUAGAUGGAAUUCCCGGUGUAGCGGUGGAAUGCGUAGAUAUCGGGAGGAACACCAGUGGCGA
rnacentral:rRNA from 1 species